rnacentral:misc_RNA from 1 species
UGUAAACACAAUAUAUAAUCAAUUAGGGAGCUCAGGUCACCCUCUACAUACUCAUACAACAUAAAAAUAAAUGGGAGCUGAGCUCCCUCAUCCAGUCCCUCAACAUGCAUAAAAUAACGAGUUUACAGGUCCAAAAUAACAAUUUAUAUUACAGACCCAAUUCAAUAAAUACUUCUAACACAUGUGAAAAUUCUAGAAGUUUAUAGAAUUAUACAAACAUGAAUAGACGACCUGCGAGGGAGAAAAGCAGGU